AGAGCGAACGCUGGCGGCAGGCCUAACACAUGCAAGUCGAGCGCGUGUAGCAAUACACGAGCGGCAGACGGGAGAGUAACACGUGGGAACGCGCCCUUCGGUUCGGAAUAACUCAGGGAAACUUGAGCUAAUACCGGAUACGCCCUUACGGGGAAAGAUUUAUUGCCGAAGGAACGGCCCGCGUCCGAUUAGCUAGUUGGUGAGGUAACGGCUCACCAAGGCGACGAUCGGUAGCUGGUCUGAGAGGAUGACCAGCCUCACUGGGACUGAGACACGGCCCAGACUCCUACGGGAGGCAGCAGUGGGGAAUAUGGACAAUGGGCGCAAGCCUGAUCCAGCCAUGCCGCGUGGAUGAUGAAGGCCUUAGGGUUGUAAAGUCCUUUUAACGGGGAAGAUAAUGACGGUACCCGUAGAAUAAGCCCCGGCUAACUUCGCGCCAGCAGCCGC
rnacentral:rRNA from 1 species